rnacentral:rRNA from 1 species
CCCUUAGAUGUUCUGGGCCGCACGCGCGCUACACUGAUGCAUUCAAUGAGUUUCUUCCUGGUCCGAGAGGAAUGGGUAACCUUUUGAAAGUGCAUCGUGAUAGGGAUAGACUAUUGCAAUUAUUGGUCUUCAACGAGGAAUUCCUAGUAGACGUAGUUCAUCAGACUGCAUCGAUUACGUCCCUGCCCUUUGUACACACCGCCCGUCGCUCCUACCGAUUGAAUGCUCAGGUGAGCCAUUCGGACUUUCAUCAUGCUGGUUUCCAGUUUUGAUGAAGGAAAGUCUUGCGAACCUUAUCAUUUAGAGGAAGGAGAAGUCGUAACA